rfam:Mycobacterium sp. JDM601, complete genome.
GGCGGUCUUCGGUAGUGGCAGCCGGGUCUGAACGUUCGUGCAGGAUCCGGCCGCUUCGAUCGACGACCGUA